AUAAAAACCCGCCAAACUCGUCGUGAGGCGAGGACGGAAAGCCACGGGUCUUGAUUCUAUUUCUCUCAAUAUGUCAGGGAGUUAUUAAGCAUUAAGAUAGCCGGGUUGCGAAC
rnacentral:ncRNA from 1 species